CGGGGGGAGCAAGCGUUGUUCGGAUUUACUGGGCGUAAAGGGCGCGUAGGCGGCGCAACAAGUCACUUGUGAAAUCUCCGGGCUUAACCCGGAGCGGCCAAGUGAUACUGUCGUGCUAGAGUGCGGAAGGGGCUACUGGAAUUCUCGGUGUAGCGGUGAAAUGCGUAGAUAUCGAGAGGAACACCUGCGGCGAAGGCGGGUAGCUGGGCCGACACUGACGCUGAUGCGCGAAAGCCAGGGGAGCGAACGGGAUUAGAUACCCCGGUAGACCUGGCCUUAAACGAUGGAUACUUGGUGUCCGGGGUUACAUAGUCCCCGGGUGCCGGCGCUAACGCAUUAAGUAUCCCGCCUGGGGAGUACGGUCGCAAGACUG
rnacentral:rRNA from 1 species